rnacentral:rRNA from 1 species
CCUACGGUGUGCAGCAGUGAGGAAUAUUGGUCAAUGGACGCAAGUCUGAACCCGCCAUGCCGCGUGCAGGAAGACGGCUCUAUGAGUUGUAAACUGCUUUUGUACGAGGGUAAACGCAGAUACGCGUAUCUGUCUGAAAGUAUCGUACGAAUAAGGAUCGGCUAACUCCGUGCCAGCAGCCGCGGUAAUACGGAGGAUUCAAGCGUUAUCCGGAUUUAUUGGGUUUAAAGGGUGCGUAGGCGGUCGGAUAAGUUAGAGGUGAAAUCCCGAGGCUCAACUUCGGAAUUGCUUCGGAUACUGUUCGGCUAGAGAGUAGUUGCGGUAGGCGGAAUGUAUGGUGUAGCGAUGAAAUGCUUAGAGAUCAUACAGAACACCGAUUGCGAAGGCAGCUUACCAAGCUACUUCUGACGUUGAUGCUCGAAAGUGUGGGUAUCAAACAGGAUUAGAUACCCGGGUAGUC